AGCAACUCUCCAAUUCACUCUACUCCGAAAGUUGUUACAAAAGAUUACAAAUGAGUUACAAGAAAAUAACCUUUCAAGUUCCUAAGAACAUAACCUAUUUUCUAUCAAAGUAUUUUCUAACCUCUCCAACUCUCACUAUAGUAAUCACACAAACCCAAAGUGUUGAAAAGUAUUGUCUAAUCCAUAUAGAUUACUCCAAAGUUUUCCCAACAACUCUAAACCCUUAUUUCUGUCUUCAACUCUAAAAUUCUUUAAAAUGUCACACUACAAUACCAAACGAGAUACAUAUUUUAAAUUAUAAAAACCUAACAGAUCCUUAGCAACUCCUAAAACACAACCCAUUAACAAACAUAUCCUUGAUUCGAACAAAAAAGACCCAAAACAUGUGAACCAAAACAAUUGGUUGGAUGAUCUAAAAAACCCAAACAGCGUACGAAUUAACUUCGGCCAGCCUCCACCAAAUGGGCCACCGCAAGCAUGAUGUCGUCCCGUGAUCCUU
rnacentral:lncRNA from 1 species